CGCUCCUUGCGUUGCUCCGAUUUGGUUCAUUUCUUUCGCAACUUUAAUAAUUUAACUUAGGAUUUAUUCAUUUCUUCAGAACCUUGCAAAUCAUUCCUAUAGCAAAUCAUUCCUAUACUAUAAUUUUACUCUCCAAAGUCUAAAGAAAGUUUAAACUGCGAUGAGAUAAUCAAUUUGGAUAUGCACACAAAUCCAGGAUUUCCGCUUUUCUGAUCUGAGACAUUCAUAAUGAAUCUUUUGUUUGAAUGAGCCUUUUUUUCUUUUUCUAAAUUCAUUUAAGAGGUUCUAUUUGAUCAAUUCAAUAAGUUACUCCCCCCUUGGUCUGUUCGAUACUUCUUUUCUUAUGAAUCCAAAGGGGUUCCGAUACACCUGCAUUUAAUAUUUAAUGAACGAGAUCGAGAAUCAUUCUUAUUUCGACUCAACGAAGGAUCGGAAGAUUGAUUUCGUAGAAGAUUAUGGAGACAAAUAAUGAUUCUUAGAAUCACUUGUUCCUUUCAUUUAUGCCUUGUAUCCUCCUCCCCCCACCGCCUAUUGGGUACAAUAGAAUAGAAAGAAAGUAGUGAGACAAAUAAUGAUUC
rnacentral:lncRNA from 1 species